GACGAAGGGGGCUAGCGUUGUUCGGAAUUACUGGGCGUAAAGGGCUCGUAGGUGGCCAACUAAGUCGGACGUGAAAUCCCUCAGCUUAACUGGGGAACUGCGUCCGAUACUGGAUGGCUUGAGUUUGGGAGAGGGAUGCGGAAUUCCAGGUGUAGCGGUGAAAUGCGUAGAUAUCAGGAAGAACACCCGUGGCGAAGGCGGCUCUCUGGGACGGUACUGACGCUGAGACGCGAAAGCGUGGGGAGCGAACAGG
rnacentral:rRNA from 1 species